CAGUCGCCGCGGGAAUACGUAGGGUGCAAGCGUUAAUCGGAAUUAUUGGGCGUAAAGCGAGUGCAGACGGUUACUUAAGCCAGAUGUGAAAUCCCCAAGCUUAACUUGGGACGUGCAUUUGAAACUGGGUGACUAGAGUGUGUCAGAGGGAGGUAGAAUUCCACAUGUAGCGGUGGAAUGCGUAGAGAUGUGGAGGAAUACCGAUGGCGAAGGCAGCCUCCUGGGAUAACACUGACGUUGAGGCUCGAAAGCGUGGGGAGCAAACAGGACUAGAUACCCCAGUAGUCCCUGUCUCUUAUAC
rnacentral:rRNA from 1 species